UACGGAGGGUGCAAGCGUUAUCCGGAUUCACUGGGUUUAAAGGGUGCGUAGGUGGGUUGGUAAGUCAGUGGUGAAAUCUCCGAGCUUAACUUGGAAACUGCAUUCGAUACUGCCGUGCUUGAGGACUGGAGAGGAGACUGGAAUUUACGGUGUAGCGGUGAAAUGCGUAGAUAUCGUAAGGAAGACCAGUGGCGAGGGCGGGUCUCUGGACGGUUCCUGACGUUGAGGCCCGAGGCCAGGGGAGCAAACGGG
rnacentral:rRNA from 1 species